rnacentral:misc_RNA from 1 species
AACGCACCUUGCGCCUUUUGGUAUUCCGAGAGGCAUGCCUGUUUGAGUGUCAUUAAAUUCUCAACCUCAGAAACUUUUGUUGAUGAGGCUUGGAUGUGGAGGUUUUGCAGGCUUUUUCCAAAGUCAGCUCCUCUGAAAUGCAUUAGUGGAAACUGUUUGUAGUCCGCAUUGGUGUGAUAAUUAUCAGCGCUAUUGUAACUACAAGCUUGGUGUAGUGUUCGACUUGGAAAGUGCAUGAAUAGUGCUCUCUCUGCUUCAUUUGACCUACGCAAGUAUAGUAUUCGCUUCAAACCGUCCUAAGUUACUGGACAAUACUUGAUUAUUUUGACCUCAAAUCAGGUAGGACUACCCGCUGAACUUAA